rnacentral:rRNA from 1 species
CUGAAGGAGGAGCUUGCUCUUCUGGAUGAGUUGGGAACGGGUGAGUAACGCGUAGGUAACCUGCCUGGUAGCGGGGGAUAACUAUUGGAAACGAUAGCUAAUACCGCAUAAGAGUAGAUGUUGCAUGACAUUUACUUAAAAGGUGCAAUUGCAUCACUACCAGAUGGACCUGCGUUGUAUUAGCUAGUUGGUGGGGUAACGGCUCACCAAGGCGACGAUACAUAGCCGACCUGAGAGGGUGAUCGGCCACACUGGGACUGAGACACGGCCCAGACUCCUACGGGAGGCAGCAGUAGGGAAUCUUCGGCAAUGGACGGAAGUCUGACCGAGCAACGCCGCGUGAGUGAAGAAGGUUUUCGGAUCGUAAAGCUCUGUUGUAAGAGAAGAACGAGUGUGAGAGUGGAAAGUUCACACUGUGACGGUAUCUUACCAGAAAGGGGCGGCUAACUACGUGCCAGCAGCCGCGGUAAUACGUAGGUCCCGAGCGUUGUCCGGAUUUAUUGGGCGUAAAGCGAGCGCAGGCGGUUAGAUAAGUCUGAAGUUAAAGGCUGUGGCUUAACCAUAGUACGCUUUGGAAACUGUUUAACUUGAGUGCAAGAGGGGAGAGUGGAAUUCCAUGUGUAGCGGUGAAAUGCGUAGAUAUAUGGAGGAACACCGGUGGCGAAAGCGGGUCUCUGGCUUGUAACUGAACGCUGAGGCUCGA